GAACAGUCAAUCCUACUUGGAUAACUGUGGUAAUUCUAGAGCUAAUACAUGCACCCAAGCCCCGACUCGGGGGGCAACUCUCGAGAAAGGGCGCUUUUAUUAGAUCAAAACCAGUCGAGAGCUUCGGCUCUCGUUAAGUUUGGUGACUCUGGACAACUUCACGCUGAUCGCACGGUCUUCGCACCGGCGACGAUUCUUUCAAAUGUCUGCCUUAUCAACUGUCGAUGGUAGGUUAUGCGCCUACCAUGGUUGCAACGGGUAACGGGGAAUCGGGGUUCGAUUCCGGAGAGGGAGCCUGAGAAACGGCUACCACAUCCAAGGAAGGCAGCAGGCGCGCAAAUUACCCACUCCCGGCACGGGGAGGUAGUGACAAAAAAUAACGAUACGGGACUCUUCCGAGGCCCCGUGAUUGGAAUGAGUACACUUUAAAUCCUUUAACGAGGACCCAUUGGAGGGCAAGUCUGGUGCCAGCAGCCGCGGUAACUCCAGCUCCAAUAGCGUAUAUUAAAGUUGUUGCGGUUAAAAAGCUCGUAGUCGGAGUUCUGUCUUCGGCCGAGGGGGGAUUCUGCCUACACGGUAUGAGUCUCGUUCCCUUUGGGUGUGCGGUGUCAAAGCCGUGCACUCUUAACGGUCGGACAAGUCCGUCGGAGUGUGGUUAUUGCUGGAAGGGCAACCGACCAAUGAGGCCACCGUAAUCGUUCGGGGUGCCUUUAAUCGGGUGUCUCGGGCGGCCGACAUAGUUUACUUUGAACAAAUUAGAGUGCUCAAAGCAGGUGACUACCGCCUGAAUAGUACAGCAUGGAAUGAUGAAAGAGGACCUCGGUCUGAUUUUGCUGGUCUUUAGCGGUCGGGCUUCGGCCCGGCCUAUGCAGACCCGAGGUAAUGGUCAAUAGAGACGGACGGGGGCAUCCGUACUGCGGCGACAGAGGUGAAAUUCUUGGACCGCCGCAAGACGAACGACAGCGAAGGCAUUUGCCAAGAAUGUUUUCCUUGAUCAAGAACGAAAGUUAGAGGUUCGAAGGCGAUCAGAUACCGCCCUAGUUCUAACCAUAAACGAUGCCAACUAGCGAUCCGCCGGUGUUACUCCCAUGACACGGCGGGCAGCUUCCGGGAAACCAAAGUCUUUGGGUUCCGGGGGAAGUAUGGUUGCAAGCUGAAACUUAAGGAAUUGACGGAAGGGCACCACCAGGAGUGGAGCCUGCGGCUUAAUUUGACCCAACACGGGAAACCUCACCAGGCCCGGACACUGGAAGGAUUGACAGAUUGAGAGCUCUUUCUUGAUUCGGUGGGUGGUGGUGCAUGGCCGUUCUUAGUUGGUGGAGCGAUUUGUCUGGUUAAUUCCGAUAACGAACGAGACUCUAGCCUGCU
rnacentral:rRNA from 1 species